GGGCCGAUAGCUCAGCCGGGAGAGCGCCGCGUUCGCAAUGCGGAGGUCGAGGGUUCGAUCCCCUUUCGGUCCACCA
rnacentral:tRNA from 1 species